rnacentral:lncRNA from 1 species
CCAAUAACAAAAACUGAAACAUAUUGAAUUGAUACAUUUUGUAAUUAUUCAAAAUUAUAUCAGAAACCUAAACUUAAUUAUAAAAAAAUGAACCUGUUAAGGGGAGACAAUACUCGCAUAACUUUUUCGAAUUGGCACAUAAUACAACGGAAUGUCACUCUUGCAUACAAAUAGCACAUCAAUAUAAUUAAUUAACUGUGCAAUCGUGCUCCACCUUCAAUGAUGAUUCUCCAUUAUAAAUAUAACCAAAAGUUGGUAUUUAUAGAUAGUGAAGACUAAUGAAAGCUAACCCACUGUAAAAAUAUUUCUUUGCAAUUUUUUAAAACUUCCUCAGAAAAAUGCUCGAGCC